rnacentral:rRNA from 1 species
UACGAAGGGGGCUAGCGUUGUUCGGAAUUACUGGGCGUAAAGCGUGCGCAGGCGGCUGCUCAAGUCAGGGGUGAAAGCCCAGAGCUCAACUCUGGAAUUGCCUUUGAGACUGAGUGGCUUGAGUACGGGAGAGGUGAGUGGAAUUCCCAGUGUAGAGGUGAAAUUCGUAGAUAUUGGGAAGAACACCGGUGGGCGAAGGCGGCUCAC